AUCGAACGCUGGCGGCAGGCCUAACACAUGCAAGUCGAACGAGUGGCGGACUGGUGAGUAAUUUCUUAGCAACUGCCUGACGUAGCGGUCUAACUGCUGGAACCGGUAGCUACUACUGCUUACCAUCCGUUGUGCCCUGACGGGAGUAGCUAGUAGGUGGGGUAAAGGCUCACAUAGGCGACGCUCCCCAGCGGGUCUGCGAGGAUGACCAGCCACACUGGAACUGAGACACGGUCCAGACUCCUACGGGAGGCAGCAGUGGGGAAUAUUGGACAAUGGGCGCAAGGCUGAUGGAGCCAUGCCGCGUGUGUGAAGAAGGCCUUCGGGUUGUAAAGUACUGUCGGCGGGGAGGCGUUACCCAAAGAGGAAGCACCGGCUAACUCCGUGCCAGCAGCCGCGGUAAUUC
rnacentral:rRNA from 1 species